rnacentral:rRNA from 1 species
AGUCGAACGAGAGAGAAGGAGCUUGCUUCUUCGAUCGAGUGGCGAACGGGUGAGUAACGCGUGAGGAACCUGCCUCAAAGAGGGGGACAACAGUUGGAAACGACUGCUAAUACCGCAUAAGCCCACGGGUCGGCAUCGACCUGAGGGAAAAGGAGCAAUCCGCUUUGAGAUGGCCUCGCGUCCGAUUAGCUAGUUGGUGAGGUAACGGCCCACCAAGGCGACGAUCGGUAGCCGGACUGAGAGGUUGAACGGCCACAUUGGAACUGAGACACGGCCCAGACUCCUACGGGAGGCAGCAGUGGGGAAUAUUGCACAAUGGGGGAAACCCUGAUGCAGCGACGCCGCGUGGAGGAAGAAGGUCUUCGGAUUGUAAACUCCUGUUGUUGAGGAAGAUAAUGACGGUACUCAACAAGGAAGUGACGGCUAACUACGUGCCAGCAGCCGCGGUAAAACGUAGGUCACAAGCGUUGUCCGGAAUUACUGGGUGUAAAGGGAGCGCAGGCGGGAAGACAAGUUGGAAGUGAAAUCUAUGGGCUCAACCCAUAAACUGCUUUCAAAACUGUUUUUCUUGAGUAGUGCAGAGGUAGGCGGAAUUCCCGGUGUAGCGGUGGAAUGCGUAGAUAUCGGGAGGAACACCAGUGGCGAAGGCGGCCUACUGGGCACCAACUGACGCUGAGGCUCGAAAGUGUGGGUAGCAAACAGGAUUAGAUACCCUGGUAGUCCACACCGUAAACGAUGAUUACUAGGUGUUGGAGGAUUGACCCCUUCAGUGCCGCAGUUAACACAAUAAGUAAUCCACCUGGGGAGUACGACCGCAAGGUUGAAACUCAAAGGAAUUGACGGGGG